GAUGAACGCUGGCGGCGUGCCUAGUACAUGCAAGUAGAACGCUGAAGGAGGAGCUUGCUCUUCUGGAUGAGUUGCGAACGGGUGAGUAACGCGUAGGUAACCUGCCUGGUAGCGGGGGAUAACUAUUGGAAACGAUAGCUAGUACCGCAUGACAACAGUUAUUGCAUGAUAACUGUUUAAAAGGGGCAACUGCUCCACUACCAGAUGGACCUGCGUUGUAUUAGCUAGUUGGUGAGGUAACGGCUCACCAAGGCGACGAUACAUAGCCGACCUGAGAGGGUGAUCGGCCACACUGGGACUGAGACACGGCCCAGACUCCUACGGGAGGCAGCAGUAGGGAAUCUUCGGCAAUGGACGGAAGUCUGACCGAGCAACGCCGCGUGAGUGAAGAAGGUUUUCGGAUCGUAAAGCUCUGUUGUAAGAGAAGAACGAGUGUGAGAGUGGAAAGUUCACACUGUGACGGUAUCUUACCAGAAAGGGACGGCUAACUACGUG
rnacentral:rRNA from 1 species